AUCCUGUUCAGGUUGAGAGGUAUCAGGCUUCAUUUCUUCUGCAAGAGGCACCCUCCCAGGGAAGGCCAGGAUUCUCAGGGCAGAAACCGGAGCCUGGGACCCCUCAUGGGCAAGAAUCUCUGAGUCCUUUGGGAAGUGCAGUGCUAGGAUCAUUUUCCUGUUGUCAGCGGCUCUGGAAGAGGCAUUAGCCCCACAAGGCUUGAUGUGGGAAGUUUUUACAGGUACUGCUCAUCUGGUGGGCAGAUGUAGCUUUGCAGCAAGAUAGAGCUCUGUCUUCCAGAUCGGGGGUGCCUGGGAGUCUUGAGGUAGAACUGGUUCCUCUCUGCUUGGAGCCAGUGUGGGCACACACAUGGGCCUGUCAUCUCCUUCAACAGCCCUGGGAUCGUUGAUCCAAGUUAGAUGGAGUGCCUUUAACCCCUGAAAUUCACAUCCUGGCAAUCAGCUGACCAUGCCUCCAUCAUCUCUGUUCCCCGCAGCCCCGACCUCUGCCAUCCCCCAACACAUAGACACACACAGUGUUAUUUCCAGGGAAGAGGAGGAUAGUCCUGGUCAAUAGCAGUGGACACACUGGAGGUUUCCCCUCAAGGGGGACCUUUAUGCGAAGAUGCUCCCAACCUCAUCACAUCUGGGACCUUUUUGCGAAGAUGCUCCCAACCUCAUCACAUCUGGGACCUUUUUGCGAAGAUGCUCCCAACCUCAUCACAUCUGGCCAAAGUGCUUUUAGUCACAAGCGGCAGAACUCAGUUCACAGGAACACAUAUGAAAAGUGGAUGUAGAGAUAACUAUGAGGGAUAUGAGACUUUAAUUAAGCAAAGUACCCGGCCUCGUCAUUCUCUCUCCUCCUGGGCUGUGGUCUCUUGGCUCAGCCUUUCUCUCUUCGUGACUUUGGUUUGCCUAUGGUUUUAUAACAUGGCCCUAACAAGUAAGUCCUCCUUGAUCAUGACAUUUACUUGAGCUCCCUAUGACCAAACAGAGUCUGCUUUUUAAUUUCAAACUCUUAAGAGAGAAAAACCGGAUGGCUGUUUAUUGCCAACACGUUGGCUGGCCUUGGGUACUUAUUCCUGGUCUAGUUAGCCGCGGCUGAGGAGCAGAGCAUGUGGUAUGAAACACAUAUAAGGUAGCAGGGGCUGAAAGUGGGAAACAACUUCUCUGAGAAGCAACCCAAGCUGGUAUUCCACCCAAGGUGUGCCUGAUGCACCCCCUGUGUGGUUCUGGGAUUCACCCGAGGGACAGGUAAUAGCCGUCCUCAGUGACUGUCUCGGCAGAGGCUGGGCUUGGAGCUCAAAGGCCAGGGAAGCAGCAGGUCCACUGAUGCAGCUGCCACCUCCACAGCAUGCUGGGGACAUGGUGACAUUCUCCUAAGAGCACUUACAGAGACAGUGUCCUGUGAAAGCAGCGCUGGACUGGGAGUUGGCAGUCCUGGCUUGUCAUCCAGCUCGGCUGCUAACCCCCAUGACCCCGGGGAACCGACCUUCUUCCUCUAGGUCUUAGAUUCUCCAGAAGUUAAAAAUGAAUUUAAAAACCAUUGUUAUUAAUAAUAAUAAACAGCAUUGAAUGAAAUCAUCUCCAGGGUUCUUUUCAAUCCCUAAGAUUUCCCUAAGCCUCCCCCAUCUCCACUUGACAACUUCCCAGAAAUGCUUUCAAAUGGAGCUCUUUAACCCAUAAUUUGGUGGGGCCUCUGCCAGCUGCCUCUCUCCCACAACACACCCAGUCCCUGUGAUAAGUCCUCCUCAGGGGCUUUCCAGCCUAGACCUGCAGCUAUUCAAGAAAGUCCAGGCAGGGCCUUCCCGGGCAACUGAUUUCUGAGCUUGUUCGACGGGGAGGAGGGGGUCUGAGCAUUUGCUGUCUGGCCACUCCAAAGAGGGAAGUCUGGGCCUGAAGACGCAUCUACUGGGGGGUUUCCACAUUGAUGAUCAGGGCCUGGGAGGCCAAGAGAAGCUCCAGAAGAAGGGUCAGCAAAAUCCCCAGAGAAACGGGGACUAUGAGUGGAACAGAGCUGGAGAGGAAGAACGGAAAACACUGUGGGUUCCCGGGACGGGGGCAGGGAGGAGGGAAAGUUUGUGUCUUUUGGCAGGAAAUGAAUAACAUUCAAAGAAUAUGCAAAAUGCCAUUCUAAUUGGCACCUGUUCCCUUUGGAGCCAGUCACUCGGCCCACGGCAUCUGAGGGUGAGUCUGGUUUGGGUCUCCCCAGGGGAGGAAUACAGCACAUUGAGAUCCACUUGAAUGAUAAGAGAGGCACUGGUCCUAAGUGGGGUAGAGGAACGGAAGGUACCCUCAGCCUCCAUGGCUCCUUCCCAGCCCCAAAUGCUCUGUCACAACCCCCCCAGCUCAACCCCAGGCAGAUGGCUACAAAUUUUGCAGGGGCCUCUGAGCAUUCCCUUGGCUAACAGCCACAUUCCAGAACAGCAUAUGUUUCAUCUCAAAUCCACAAGGUUUGCACUUCCAAGCGGAGCCAAAGAGAAAAACCUUGGCCCAGGCUGCAAAUUUCUUAGGAGAGGUGGGGGUCAGGGGCGGCCCCCAGGGAGGUUGUAGCUGUUAUGUUGAAGAACAUUUGAGUUCAAGUUCAUGCAAAGCUAGGUCCCAAAUAUAUGACACCCACAUUCCUAAUUCAUAACCCCUCAAAGUACCUACCUGGAGAAGGAGUGAGCAGCGCUGCUUCCUCUUGCUGUCACCCAAAUGGCCCUCAUGCCACCUGCAUGUUCCUCCAGCCCCAUAACAGUUCUGCACCUUUGCCUAACUUCAUGGCCCUUUUGAAUCAGUGAUUCACAGCCCAGGGCUGUGUGGAGUCUGGGUGGGGAGGGAAGAAACAGGGUGACUCCUGAUCUCACUCUACCC
rnacentral:lncRNA from 1 species